GCUCCCUGCCAUGAUAAUAAUGGACUGAACCUCUGAAACUAUCAAUGACCAUGUCUCCUGGAACAAUCUAAGAGAAUUCAAGGCAUUGAAACUUUCACAAUGUAAUAGUGUCUAGCAUAAAGGAAGCAUUUGACAACUUGUUAGGUACUAUUUGUUAUUGUAUUUCUAAUUUUAAAAUGUAUGAAAAGACUUGAACCUUUUGUACCUCAGGACAAUGUUAUACUUAGAGGAAAAAGAAACAAUUUCUAUUUCUAAAGAAAUAUAUACUUUUUAUUCCCCAAAUUA